GGUUAAGUUAAUAAGGGCGCACGGUGGAUGCCUUGGCACUAGAAGCCGAUGAAGGACGUGACUAACGACGAAAUGCUUUGGGGAGCUGUAAGUGAGCAAUGAUCCAGAGAUGUCCGAAUGGGGGAACCCGGCAGGUAAUGCCUGUCACUCAUUACUGUUAAGGUAAUGUAGAGGAAGACGCAGUGAACUG
rnacentral:rRNA from 1 species